UUUCCGUAGGUGAACCUGCGGAAGGAUCAUUAUUGUAUAACCGAGGUGCGAGGGCUGUCGCUGACCUGACAGGUUGUGCACGCCAGAGAGCCCUGACACAUAUCUAUCUCACACUUCUGUGCACCGCCGCGCGAGUACCACGUCGGCUUGUUAGGUGGGGGGCUUACGUUUUCCCACAAUAUUUGAAUACAGUGUAGAAUGUACUUCUUGUUUUUGCGUUUAUGCAAUCACUACAAAUAUCAAAAAAGGAUCUCUUGGCUCACACAUCGAUGAAGAACG
rnacentral:misc_RNA from 1 species